rnacentral:rRNA from 1 species
GACGAACGCUGGCGGCGUGCCUAAUACAUGCAAGUAGAACGCACAGUUUAUACCGUAGCUUGCUACACCAUAAACUGUGAGUUGCGAACGGGUGAGUAACGCGUAGGUAACCUGCCUGGUAGCGGGGGAUAACUAUUGGAAACGAUAGCUAAUACCGCAUAAUAUUAAUUAUUGCAUGAUAAUUGAUUGAAAGAUGCAAUUGCAUCACUACCAGAUGGACCUGCGUUGUAUUAGCUAGUAGGUGAGGUAACGGCUCACCUAGGCGACGAUACAUAGCCGACCUGGGAGGGCGAUCGGCCACACUGGGACUGAGACACGGCCCAGACUCCUACGGGAGGCAGCAGUAGGGAAUCUUCGGCAAUGGACGAAAGUCUGACCGAGCAACGCCGCGUGAGUGAAGAAGGUUUUCGGAUCGUAAAGCUCUGUUGUAAGAGAAGAACGGGUGUGAGAGUGGAAAGUUCACACUGUGACGGUAUCUGACCAGAAAGGGACGGCUAACUACGUG